CCUGAGCUGAAAUCAAGAGUCAGACGCUUUACCGACUGAGCCAUCCAGGUACCUGAAACAAGGCAUUUUCAGUUCUGAAUCUAACUGAAUUUUGUUGGAGAAUCUGCAGCCUCCCUGGCAGUGAGCACAGAGACAUAGUGACAGGCCAGGAGAUGUCUGUAAUAUCACUAGUUCUCUUCAUGGGGCAAAAAACUUGCUGAAGAAGCUGUACAUAUGUUCUACCCUAAUUAUCAGUGAUUGAUCAAGCCAGAGAAUUUAGUAGCCAGAUAAGCAUGAGGUAUGUUUACUUUGGAAAUAUGCAUUUCUCUAUCCCCAAAUAAAAUUGGUAUAUGGAAAAAUUGUAAGUUACAUUCCUACCUCAUACCAAAUUCCAGAAAAAAAAUUAAAGAUGGAAUUAAGAGUUAAAAUUGAAGCUAUAAAAGAAAAAUUAACAUUGGUGAAUAUUUUUAUGUUCUUUAAAAGGAAAGAACAGUCUUAAUAUAAAAGAUGCAGCAAAAGGGCCAAAGGAAAAACUAAUGUAUGAGUUCCUACAUGUGUAUUUUGCAGACUUCUUUUGUGGUAGAAUGUGUGGCCAAUAUUUUCAUCUGUUCUAUGACAUCAUUUUCCUGUAAAUGUCUUUGAUGCAUUUGUAAUUUUUAUAGCUCUUUUCACAUUUUCUCUUACACAAUCGUUGUGCUGAUGUCCUGCCAUAGCCUUUCUUCAACAUUAAUUUAUAAUGACAUGGUUUUUCCUGGUCCGGCUAUUUGCAGGUGAGUUCAUGGAUGGUGGAGGGGCCAGGGUUCCCUGCCAGGCAUCAGACCUUUCAGAAGCCCUCUCUUCGCAGUCACAGAGACCACAGAUUCCAGCCAGCAUGGCUCCUCUGACAAGAUUUUGUGUAGCCUUCCUCCCUUUGGUCCUCUGACCCAAGCUGAGUCUGAAAGGAUUUCUGUUCCCAGCCCUGCAUUCCCAGGCCCUUCACCAGCAGCAGCAAACAGGACAGAGCCCUUGCACUUACCGAUGAGCCCUUGACCUUCAUGGAGUAAGAUUCUGCUGGAUCUUUCUGAGAUGUGCUGUUAGGAGCCCUCUCAGAUAGAUACUCUGUGCAUUUUCUCUGCAUCCCAACUUGUGACUUCUGCUGAAGCUCAGCUUAUGUUACUCCUCAGUUAUUAGAUUUAUAGGCUAUAGCGUUUGCAUUUCUGGAUGAGUUUCUCAUUUCAGGAAGUAUGCUUUGCUGCUACUUUCUGAGGCCUGCUACUCAUGAGGUCCCUUGAUGUUCUCUUUGCAUUUUCUGUUUAAUUUUAUUAUUUUUUCAACAUUUAUUUAUUUUUGAGAAAGAGUGCAAGUGAUGGGAGGGGCAAAGAGAAGAGGGCAGAGGAUCCAGAGCGGGCUCUGCUCUGACUGACAGCGGAGAGCCCAGUGCAGGGCUCAAACCCAUGAACUGCCAGACCAUGACCCAAAGUCAAGACGCUCAACUGACUGAGCCACCCAGGCACCCCUCUAUUUAAUUUUAAUUGGUUUUCUUUUGGGUUCCACAGAUUUUGUCUGAUACCUCUUUGCUGAAAAAGUGGGGCAAUAUUUUUUUAAUCCUCUUUCAUUUUGUUGUUUCUAAUUUUUUCUUGUUGCUUUGAUUUCUCAGGAGGAGAAAGAAAGUUAGGUUACCAAUGUGUUCAUACCAUAGAGUUACAUCCAGUUAUAUCCAGUGUUCAGAAGCCUAAUGCAACUCUGAUUCUCACUCUUUUAUUCAGAACCUGUUUCCUCAUACUCCUUAAGGUUCUUUUUGUCUUCUCUUAUAUACUAGAAUUGGAUGAAAAUGUGCCUGUUGUGUAUCUUUUCAUAUGCAUUGUUUGGGGCACAUGAUGGACCGUUUAAAUCUGGAUACUUGCAUUUCUUCAAUUCUGGGAAAAUUUAUUUUAUUACUUAUUAUAUAAUUUUUAAAGUUCUCCUCCCCAUUUUUCAUUUUAUCUCUUUCUGGAAUUCCAGUUGUCCUAGAAGUCCAAUCAUUAUGGACUGAAUCUCUAGGUCUCCUAUCAUUUCUGUACAAUUUUUCUUUUAAGUCUCAGCUUUUUUUAAAUCUCAGCUGGGAGAUUUCUUGGCUAUAUAACUUGAAUGUGUCAAAACUCUAAUUUUUUUUUUUUAACGUUUUAUUUAUUUUUGAGACAGAGAGAGACAGAGCAUGAACGAGGGAGGGUCAGAGAGAGAGGGAGACACAGAAUCUGAAACAGGCUCCAGCCUCUGAGCUGUCAGCACAGAGCCUGAUGCGGGUCUCGAACUCACGGACCGUGAGAUCAUGACCUGAGCCGAAGUCGGCCGCUUAACCGACUGAGCCACCCAGGCGCCCUAAAACUCUAAUUUUUAAGACCUGUUUUUUACUCUCUGAUAAGUUUCUUUUUUAUUAAAAUACUUUAUUUCUGGAUUUCCUUUAUCCUUAUGAAAAAAUUUUAAUAAAUUAUUUUGUAGGCAUUAUUUGUUUCACUCAAGAUCCCUUUUCCUCAUUUUCUUAAAUUUACUUUUCUUUUCCAAGGCCUUUCUGUUUGAAUCCUGGAUGUUCUUUCAUAUUUAAUCUGUUACCUGGGUAGCUUCACUUAUGAGUCACUGGGUAGAAAGCCAUUUGUUUGGGGGGGGGGGGGUAUCCUUCAUAUCAGUUUGAUACUGAAUCUUGUGGUUGGUGUUGAAUUGCUGUCCAGAUCUUUUGGUACUCCUGGCUGAUAAUAUUUUACAUACAGGACAGAGAAAAGGGACUGGAAGUAACAGUGUUUCAAUGACAGACUUUGUGUGAAUUCCCUUUUCAGCUCUCACUCAUGUCCACACCUAUACCCAGUGCCUUGGGCCCUGAAUGUCUGCUUUUGACUAAGUGCAGAAAAUGUCUUCUGAAUAGAUAUGUGGAGAUGUGUAGGAGGAGAGAUUUAUAGUUCCUGUAUGCAGUCUCUCAAACUCUCUUUGAUAUGUGGAACCUUAUCCCCAUUAUCCAUUAUAUCUGGUAUCAAUUAUGAGCCCCUCCUGGGUUUUCUGGGGCAAACUGGUUUGCUUCCUCUUCCCUUGAAGUAAGUUACUACUAUAUUUUCUGUCUCCCAUAGUUUUCUCAACUGUCUAAUGGAAACAAUAUCAGAUAAUCCCUCAUAAGGUUGUUGUAUGAGUCAAAUGAAGUUACAUAUGUAAUGUGCCUAACAGAGCACUGAACUUGAAGCAAUCAUUCUACAAAUGGCAGUUAUUAGUGUUAUAAAACCUCUCAAAAUCCCAGACAGUCCUAUUCACAUUAAUUCCCUAAACGAUAGUGCCCAAAAAAUCUCUGUUGCUGUUUUUGUGGACUUAAUAAUUUCUGUAUAUUCAUCUAGGGAAUAAAAUUGGAAGAGAAGUAAAAUAAAUUCAUGCUUUAAUUCUGCCA